rnacentral:rRNA from 1 species
GACGAACGCUGGCGGCGUGCCUAAUACAUGCAAGUUGAGCGCUGAAGGUUGGGACUUGUACCAACUGGAUGAGCAGCGAACGGGUGAGUAACGCGUGGGGAAUCUGCCUGUGAGCGGGGGACAACAUUUGGAAACGAAUGCUAAUACCGCAUAAAAACUUUAAACACAAGUUUUAAGUUUGAAAGAUGCAAUUGCAUCACUCAAAGAUGAUCCCGCGUUGUAUUAGCUAGUUGGUGAGGUAAAGGCUCACCAAGGCGAUGAUACAUAGCCUAACUGGGAGGGGUAUCGGCCACAUUGGGACGGAGAAACGGCCCAAACUCCUACGGGAGGCAGCCGUAGGGAAUCUUCGGCAAUGGAGGGAAGUCUGACCGAGCAACGCCGCGUGAGUGAAGAAGGUUUUCGGAUCGUAAAAAUCUGUUGGUAGAGAAGAAAGUUGGUGAGAGUGGAAAGCUCAUCACGUGACGGUAACUAACCAGAAAGGGACGGCUAACUACGUG